rnacentral:rRNA from 1 species
UGAAUUGCAGAACUCCGUGAACCAAUGGCCUCUUGAACGUGCAUUGCGCUCUUGGGAUAUGCCUGAGAGCAUGUCUGCUUCAGUGCUUCUACUUUCAUUUUCUGCUGCUCUUGUUAUCGGGAGCAGUGUUGCUGCAUGCUUCUGCAAAAGGCACUGGCAUGCUAAGUAUCAAGUUUUGCUUGCUGUUCUGACUGAUCAACAUCUCAUGUCGUUUCAGUUGGCGAAACAAAAGCUGAAGUGUGUUCUUAACACUUCCUAGCAUGAAGUCAGACAAGUGAACCCGCUGAACUUAAGCAUAUGGAUCCCAAGA